AAAACCUAAUACAUACAUAACCUGCUCGUUUAAAGUAUUUUUUUCGUUGAGCAAUAUAACAAGAUUCUGUACAGCUGCACAUUUCCAACCUGUGAGGGACACGCCAGCUGUAUUCAUGACUGUAAACCUUCUGUCCUACCGAGAAACGCGGUAGUAUUGCACCUGUUUUGUGACGAUAAAAUAUCCUAUGCUUCAUGUGUAUAUUUUAUCAGAACAUUUUGUCUACGUUUCCAAAGGAAAGCUCUUAUACUUCGGUUUAUGUGAAGAACCAGAAAGCAAGGUAAAAUCAUGCAGAAAGCCAGUAUCGCAGUUUUUCUUCUCAUUUUAAUAUUGUGUAAUCUCGGUACUUUAUCAGCACAAACGCUAGAAAACUGCACUAACAACGACGUCUGUAGAGAAAAUUGUAUCUACAUCUACAAAAAUACCAUGCGAGGAAUAUGCGACUAUACAAAUACUUGUCUUUGUUUUCCGAUCUGCUGAAACGAUUUUUUUAAACGGAGUCAAUUUCUUGUUUUAAGUCUUUAAUUGUUUAUCCCUAUUCUAAAUUAGAAAUAUUUUUAUGUGAUUCCACCAAGAUGCGACAUCACAUUAUCGAUUGCAAAAAAAAAAAAAAAAUCUAAUGAUUUAGGCUUAGAAUUCAGCCUUGUUUUCAAUACAAUGAACGAAUCCUAGAGUGCAGUCACAUAAAAAAACUUUCUGCUAAGCCUAGUUAACUUUUGUUAUUACUUCUGUAGUUCUAAAAUAUUUCACCCUAUUUCCUUUUUGUUUCUGAAAUCAAUAAAAUCAAAAAGCGAGGCAUUA